UCUGCUGGCUAGAUAGAAUUAUGUCUGCAAUUCAAUGACAGUGAGCCCUUGGAGACUUCUGUCUGCAUAGUGGAUAAAGGGUGCUGUUUCUGCACAGGCAUAUGGAUCUGCUGCUCAGCCAUGGCUUCUGAGCUGUGACUUUCAUUGAGAUCUCAGGGAACCAAGACCUCAGAGUUAAUUGAGGCUGCAUGGUUUUGGAGAUCUACACCACAGGAGUGCCUGGGCUCUACCAGAAGACACCUGGGAAGCUGCUAUGAUCACCUGACAUUUGUCAUUCUUUUGGAAGCAAGGAAAUAGAGCAGCUGAGGUCUGAAGGAUGUGCUUCACUGAACAACACAGUCUUCUAAACUAAGAAAAGUCACUCAGGAUAUCCCAAAGAAAAAAUUGAAAACAAACUAUGAUCAGCUUGACUGCCAUAUCCUAUAUGUGCCAGAAAAAUUCUUUGAGGGAAAGGGAAUUCUGGUGACAUUGUACUCUGUCAGCUACCCAGGAAAGGGCAGAUUGUCCUUGCAAAGCUGACCAGCACCAGCUCUUCUCUGCAUUUGAGUCAGUCUCUGUAUAGCUAUGAUGGGCAGUGUGGGUUACUUCCUACAUUAGACAUAAGUAGAAGGGAAAAAACGUUUGCAGUUCUUGGCUUCAUUAUUUGGUACUCAGACACAAUUACUUGUCUGGCUCAGAACUUAAUUGGUAGCUCAAGCCCUGUUUGCUGCUUCCAGUCCAUAAGUCUUCAUGAGAGAAGCAACUCUUACAGCCAAAUGGCUGUAUUACUGAUUUAGAGCUAUGACAAUUAUCUGGAGUAAAGCAGCUAUGGGCUGUCUCUUUUAAACUAGAAACAAGUAAGUAUUUGGAAACAUUUAACAGAACUCUGACACAUAUCACUGAGUGCGCACAGAAAUCCCACAGCCAUACAAAAUCCAUAAAGCAUUUGAUACAGUGAGAUUUAAUGGUGAGCGUUUUUUACACUCUUAGUUAAACUGCUAUUCCAAAAGUAUUGGGAGAGGCUACUGAAGGAGCUAAUGUUAAGUUUUUCUAAGAUCUGGGGUACAAGACAUGUGAAUUAAUAUGUUACAAGUCUAUAACAUUGAAAGAUGGUUUAAAUACCCACAGAAAUGAGCAAGGCUGGGUGCAUCUGUCAAAAACUGUCACUGCUUAGUGGAAAGCAAUGGUUUGGUGCACCCAUCCUCUGCAAGCUCAAAUCCGUAUCAGCCCGGCACUGACAAAUCAAUUGUUUGCACAGCCUUAAUCUACGCUGAAUGAUAAAGUUAAGUAUUUAUUGUGGCUUCUCUUGCUUUUAUAAACCUUCUUGCUAAAUUAUUACUAUUAAUAAUUGUGUUAAUGUUUAUUGUGGCAGUAUUAAAAUCUAAUUGAGAAUAGUGCUUGGUGCUGUUCAGGUCUAGGGGAGGAGACAAAGCUCUCUCUGGCAACACAGUAAGGGAAAGAGCUUUAAAAGUAUACAAACAGAGCAAAGUAUUUAUUACUGUUUUUCCUUGCCUUGUGACUGGAUUCAGAGCUCAUUGAUCCUUGUGGACUUUGGAUCAGGUUCACUUCACUUUCCGUCCUUGUUUCUGUAUGGUUUUAAAACCACCAAGAAAUCCACAACAGUUUUAUGGAACUGAAGAACUGUGUAAGAAUUCUUUGCUUUCAGGAAUCCAACCUGGCAUAGGCUUUCAUUCCAUGGCUUAUCUUCAAUUUAAACUACAUCCCCAUCAGCUCCAGUGACCUAAUUUUAAAAUGUAAAUGCCAAUUGAAUGUGUUUCAUUAUUUCCUGUUACCAUAAUAGUUUACUGAAUGAAAAGUCAUGUCAGAACUGUUCUGAAUCCGUAUUUUCAUGUUCUUCUAAAACUUGUUUUUUUGAAUUGUAUAAAUGUAGUAACUACUCAGCAAACCUAAACAUUUCAGAUAUACAGUUCUUGCCUCAUGUCCUAGGUUAAAAUUUCAGGUGAAUUCUCACUGAGCUGACUGGUUUCUGACCAGGAAACAUCAUCCAAAACAGAGGGAGAUCAGAACAUAAAGGAAUUAAUAAUGAUAUCAUUAUCUGUCAGCAAGUGAAGCUGAACAAA